rfam:Camelus ferus unplaced genomic scaffold scaffold367, whole genome shotgun sequence.
GUGGGUAUAGCUCUGUGAUAGAGCCCAUGCUUAGCAUGCAUGUGGUCCUGGGUUCAAUUCCCAGUAUCUCCA